UACAUCGGUGACAGUGGUGCAUGGUUGUCGUCAGCUCGUGUCGUGAGAUGUUGGGUUAAGUCCCGCAACGAGCGCAACCCCUAUUGUUAGUUGCCAUCAUUCAGUUGGGCACUCUAGCGAGACUGCCGGUAAUAAACCGGAGGAAGGUGGGGAUGACGUCAAAUCAUCAUGCCCCUUAUGACCUGGGCUACACACGUGCUACAAUGGUUGGUACAACGAGUUGCGAGUCGGUGACGGCGAGCUAAUCUCUUAAAGCCAAUCUCAGUUCGGAUUGUAGGCUGCAACUCGCCUACAUGAAGUCGGAAUCGCUAGUAAUCGCGGAUCAGCACGCCGCGGUCGAAUACGUUCCCGGGCCUU
rnacentral:rRNA from 1 species